rnacentral:rRNA from 1 species
CCUACGGGAGGCAGCAGUGAGGAAUAUUGGUCAAUGGGCGCGAGCCUGAACCAGCCAAGCCGCGUGAGGGAUGACGGUCCUGCGGAUUGUAAACCUCUUUUAUCAGGGAACAAAGACAGGCACGUGUCCCCUUAUGAGUGUACCUUAUGAAUAAGGAUCGGCUAACUCCGUGCCAGCAGCCGCGGUAAUACGGAGGAUGCGAGCGUUAUCCGGAUUUAUUGGGUUUAAAGGGUGCGUAGGCGGUGUGUUAAGUCAGGUGUGAAAGCCUGGGGCUCAACCCUAACAUUGAAAUUGAUACUGGCAGCCUCGAGUACGGGAGAGGUAGGCGGAAUUCGUGGUGUAGCGGUGAAAUGCAUAGAUAUCGCGACGAACUCCGAUUGCGAAGGCAGCCUACUAGACUUCCACUGACGUUGAGGCACGAAAGCGUGGGUAUCGAACAGGAUUAGAUACCCUUGUAGUC